rnacentral:rRNA from 1 species
GACGAACGCUGGCGGCGUGCCUAAUACAUGCAAGUCGAACGAGAGCGACCGGUGCUUGCGCUGGUCAGUCUAGUGGCGCACAGGUGAGUAACACGUGGGUAACCUGCCCAUCAGAGGGGGAUAACAUUCGGAAACGGAUGCUAAAACCGCAUAGGUCUUCGAACCGCAUGGUUUGAAGAGGAAAGGAGGCGCAAGCUUCUGCUGAUGGAUGUACCCGCGGUGCAUUAGCUAGUUGGUGAGGUAACGGUUCACCAAGGCCGUGAUGCAUAGCCGACCUGAGAGGGGGAUCGGCCACAUUGGGACUGAGACACGGCCCAAACUCGUACGGGAGGCAGCAGUAGGGAAUCUUCCGCAAUGGACGCAAGUAUGACGGAGCAACGCCGCGUGAGUGAAGAAGGUUUUCGGAUCGUAAAACUCUGUUGUUAGAGAAGAAUAAGUGCUAGAGUAACUGUUAGCGCCUUGACGGUAUCUAACCAGAAAGCCACGGCUAACUACGUG